rnacentral:rRNA from 1 species
GAUGAACGCUGGCGGCGUGCCUAAUACAUGCAAGUCGAGCGAACAGACGAGGAGCUUGCUCCUUUGACGUUAGCGGCGGACGGGUGAGUAACACGUAGGUAACCUACCUAUAAGACUGGGAUAACUUCGGGAAACCGGAGCUAAUACCGGAUAAUAUUUCGAACCGCAUGGUUCGAUAGUGAAAGAUGGCUUUGCUAUCACUUAUAGAUGGACCUGCGCCGUAUUAGCUAGUUGGUACGGUAACGGCUUACCAAGGCAACGAUACGUAGCCGACCUGAGAGGGUGAUCGGCCACACUGGAACGGGGACACGGUCCAGACUCCUACGGGAGGCAGCAGUAGGGAAUCUUCCGCAAUGGGCGAAAGCCUGACGGAGCAACGCCGCGUGAGUGAUGAAGGUCUUCGGAUCGUAAAACUCUGUUAUUAGGGAAGAACAAACGUGUAAGUAACUGUGCACGUCUUGACGGUACCUAAUCAGAAAGCCACGGCUAACUACGUA